rnacentral:rRNA from 1 species
AACGUAGGAGACAAACGUUAUCCGGAGUUACUGGGCGUAAAGGGCGCGUAGGCGGCCGCCUAAGUCAGACGUGAAAUCCCUCGGCUCAACCGGGGAACUGCGUCUGAUACUGGGUGGCUUGAAUUCGGGAGAGGGAUGCGGAAUUCCAGGUGUAGCGGUGAAAUGCGUAGAUAUCUGGAGGAACACCGGUGGCGAAGGCGGCAUCCUGGACCGAGAUUGACGCUGAGGCGCGAAAGCCAGGGGAGCAAACGGG